ensembl:snRNA U6 U6 spliceosomal RNA
GUGCUCGCCUCGGCAGCACGUACAAAAUGUCGGAAUGAUACAGAGAUCAGCAUGGCUCCUGCACAAGGACGACAAGUAACUUCGUGACAUGCCCCAUAGUUCU